rnacentral:rRNA from 1 species
UAGUACGGCGAGUGAAGAGGGAAGAGCCCAAGAUUGGAAAGCUGGCGUCUUCGGCGUCCGCAUUGUAAUCUCAAGAAGUGUUUUCCGCUUCGGACCAAGCCUAAGUCCCCUGGAAAGGGGCAUCAUAGAGGGUGAUAAUCCCGUACAUGGCUUGGAGCGCCCGAGGCUUUGUGAUACGCUUUCUAAGAGUCGAGUUGUUUGGGAAUGCAGCUCAAAAUGGGUGGUAAAUGCCAUCUAAGGCUAAAUAUUGGGGAGAGACCGAUAGCGAACAAGUACAGUGAUGGAAAGAUGAAAAGAACUUUGAAAAGAGAGUUAAACAGUACGUGAAAUUGCCAAAAGGGAAGGGUAGGAGGUCAGAGAUGCGGCCUGGGAUUCAGCCUUGUUUUUGCUUGGUGUUUUUCCCAGAUUGCAGGCCAACGUCGGUUUUGGGCACUGGAGAAGGGUAGGAGGAACGUGGCACCCCUCGGGGUGUGUUAUAGCCUCCUACUGGAUACAGCGACCGAGACCGAGGACAGCAGCGUACUCGCAAGAGCGGGCCUUCGGGCACCUUUACGCUUAGGGCGUUGGCAUAAUGGCCCUCUACCACCCGUCU